GAAAUGCGAUAAGUAAUGUGAAUUGCAGAAUUCCGUGAAUCAUCGAAUCUUUGAACGCACAUUGCGCCCCCUGGCAUUCCGGGGGGCAUGCCUGUCCGAGCGUCAUUUGCACCCCUCAAGCGCGGCUUGCGUGUUGGGUCGUCGUCCCCUCCGGGGGACGGGCCCGAAAGGCAGCGGCGGCACCGCGUCCGGUCCUCGAGCGUAUGGGGCUUUGUCACCCGCUCGAUAAGGACCGGCCGGGCGCCAGCCGGCGUCUCCAACCUUUUUUUCUCAGGUUGACCUCGGAUCAGGUAGGGAUACCCGCUGAACUUAAGC
rnacentral:misc_RNA from 1 species